UUGGGAGCUAUUGCCACUCUUUUUGAUAUAAUGCACUCGUACAAAAGGCAAUUGAGGAUCGGCAACUGCGAUUGGAGAGAGCACUUUUGCGGCUACUCUUUUUGCACACUGCUUACUAGAUUCCAAGUUGGAAUGAAGGAGUUAUUGGAUUUUGAAGUCAGUACAUGCAAUCUAAGGGUAAUAGGUGACCCAAUUUACUAGUGGUUGUGUCUUGAGCUAUAUCUUGAGUAAUUUGACAAGGUUUUGGCUCAAAAUAUCAAGGAAUGUGUAAAUUCAUGUCAAUAAUCUUU
rnacentral:lncRNA from 1 species